UAGACAAUGAUUUUAAAAUAUCACGAUUCGCCUUCUCUGACUAAAAAUCUGCAAGCCGGUCGUAUCCCGAGGCAAUUUAUUUUCGAACCAUGCGUGGGUAAUUAUUUUCGAGCGAAAUCAAAUUAGACUCUCGGCCGAGUUAAUCACGCAAUCGUCCGCUCGUCCGAACUCUAGUUCACGCUAUUUUGUGUACAAACGGAUUCCGCGGGAGCAUUUUUAUUCGGGAAAAUAAAUUAGCGCGACCCGAGUAUGUGUUUGGGCCAAAUCCAGCCCACCCCACUAGGCCCACUAAAAAAACCCUAACCCUAGGGCUGCUUCUAUAAAUAGAGGUGCUCACUUGGAAAUUUUCCACUCCCACCCCUCUAUUUUCCCUAGCCGCCACAACCCUUCUCCCUCUCUUCUACUUCAGCCGACGCACACAUUUUCGUUGUCCCCUUCUCCCACACGACAGCAAGCAGGGAGCUCGGCUCCUCCUCCUCACCAUGGUGCUCGGCACGCCUCCCCACAACAGCAGAUCGCCGCUGCCCUCUCUCCCAUGGUGGCCUCCCUUGUGACACCUCCCCCUGUAGGGCGUGGGGAGCCUCCCUGCUCGGCCACACCGUCGGCUGGCCAUGGCGCCUCCUGCAGUCUUCCCCACGCUAUCUUCCUCCUUCCCCGUUGCUGUCUUCACCAACACUCGCCCUCCCAUGGAAACCAGCAGCCAUGGCGUCCCCCUUCCCAAGCUUCCUUGCCGAGCCGCAGCUUCCCCAGCGCCCACUCUCUCCCAUGGCUGAGCAGCAACUCUGCUUGCCCCCUCCCAUGGCACCUCCACCUCCCUGCGUGCCCUCUGCCCUUCUUCCUCCCCUGGCCGGGCUACUACGCAAAGUAGCGGCAGCAGCUUCCUUGGACGGCGCCCAGAAAUUCCAGCAGAGCUCGCCCUAUUUUUUUUCCUCCCUGGCCGAAGUUUCCCCCUGCUGCUAGCUCGGCAACCAUGGCGAGCAGCCCCCGGCAGCGAGCUCCUCCCUUGCCUUGCUGUCGGACGUUCCUGCCACUACCUCGCUCCAUCGUCGCGCAGCGAACUCCAUCGCCGACCUGCGCAGCAAGCUGCGCGCUGCAGCAGCAGCCAUGAGAUCUCGUCCGUGUCGCCAGCGUCGACCCGAUCUGCGCAGCGGUGCCGGUCCACCGCAGCAGCCCCAUGCUGCGCCGUUGAUCUGCGUGGUUCGACUGUCUCCGCGUCUCGCUUCGCCGAAUCGGCGCAGCGCCGACGUGCCAUCGUGGGAACCCGUGCCCUUGUCGACGUCACGCCUUGCGCAUCGCUCGUCGGCAAAGAGCCCAAACUAAUGGCAUGCAUGCGCGGCAUGAGUCGGCCAGGACCGAGAGAUGGUGAUCGAGCAACUGACGUGGUGCCAACCACAAGCUGCAGAUGGAGGACAACCUAAGGAAGGAUGGACAUAACCAGUAGAUACUCGCCAAGCGAGUACCUACCCCAGCAAACACUAUCUAAGUGUUAAAUUAAAG